rnacentral:rRNA from 1 species
UUUCGCAAUGCCCGAAAGGGUGACGAAGCGACGCCGCGUGUGGGAAGAAGGCCUUCGGGUUGUAAACCACUGUCGGGAGUUAGGAAAUGCAGGUGCGUUAAUAGCGCACUUGCUUGACUAAGGCUCCAGAGGAAGCCACGGCUAACUCUGUGCCAGCAGCCGCGGUAAUACAGAGGCGGCAAGCGUUGUUCGGAAUUAUUGGGCGUAAAGAGCACGUAGGCGGCCUUGUAAGUCAGUUGUGAAAGCCUUCCGCUUAACGGAAGAACGGCAUCUGAUACUACAGGGCUUGAGUACGGGAGGGGAGAGUGGAACUUCUGGUGGAGCGGUGAAAUGCGUAGAUAUCAGAAGGAACGCCGGCGGCGAAAGCGACUCUCUGGUCCGAAACUGACGCUGAGUGUGCGAAAGCUAGGGGAGCAAACGGGAUUAGAUACCCCGGUAGUCCUAGCCGUAAACGAUGGGCACUAAGUAGAGGGGUUUU